UUUUUGGAUUAGUUAGGAUGUUAAAAUAGACGAACGAAAACGACGCUCUCUAGUGGCAACAGCCCCAACCCACCACAUCUCACUCAUUCCAUGCUUUUCCCUCUCUUCUCCUUGCGCCGGUUCUGCAAAAUGAGGUGACUGAGAAUUUGAUGCUUUGAUUUUUGAUCCAUGGUGGCCAUUGACGAGACUGAGUUUCGAAGCAACAUCGUACACGGUGAUUUGAUUGUCUACUGGAGGAAGAUGGUCUACUUAGAGAGGGAGGCUAUUGAGUGAAGAAUUUGGAAGCAUCAGAUCCGAUAGCGCUAGUUUCUUCAUCUUCUGCUGUUAGAGAAAGUUGUGGAAGUUGGCAGCCUUUUGAAUCGUAUGUAUACAUUCAAAUAAUAUUCUUCCCGUGGAUUAGGAUGACGCUCAAAGAGGGAGAGAUAAGAGCUGACUCAGGUACUGAAUUAAUCUUCAGGCAUCUAUUUAAAAAAAAAAAAAACUGCUGCUUUGUAGCUGAGCAGGUAUUCACUCCAUUCUUCUUCCAUUUCAUGAACUACUUAACUGGACGAACUAGCAUUCAAAUCUUAGACUAGACCCCUUCCACCAAUUUUGGGGAGCAGGACGAAACAGCUUCAGCAACUGUUAGAAAGAUAUGGUCCUCGCCAAUCAGAUUAGCAAGAUCGGAUGCAUGGAGUUUGUCAAUCACUACAGGCCCGGGGUUUGCCAAAACUAGCUGUUCAACAACACCGCACAGACUUCUGGAAAAAGAGUGAUAAAAAGAUAUCCUUACAAUUGCGACACCUUUCUGGUCUGCAUGGGUAAUGUAAACAAAAAAGGUGGACAGAAUGACUGAUAUUAAUGGAGCAAUUGCAGGCACCCAAAAAAGGCUCUUGUUCUUCUUUCCCUGAGAUUGCAAACAUGGAAGUUCUUCUAAAGCCAAGAAUAGAAACAGGAAAAGAGCUUACGUCAAAAUUUGCACCAAGUAACAAUGCCAAGUGAGAUUCGUACAAUAUACUUGGCUAAUAGAAGAAAACUUAGAAAAGCUACUCCAAUGACUAUCGUCUGCCAGUUCCACUGCAAAUGGUCAUGAAAGAAGUUAAAAUACAUGAGAUUAGUUUGCAUCAGUGACUCAUUUAUGUGCAAAUAAACACCAUAGACAUGUGAGGUUUGAGGUUGUAAGAAGGCUUACUCCAUGAUGCGCUGCCUCAAAUACUGAGCGCAUAACAGAGAUGAUGUCUGUUUUCUUUGUAAAAUUUUUAAUACCAAGAAAGCCUUUAAGUUGUUGAAGGGCAAUAGUGAUGGCAGCUCCACCCAUAAAACCAACAAUGGCAGCAUGAGAUAGAAAGUCAAUCAGAAAACCCAACCUGUUGGCAAAAGUCAAGGAUACAUAUUGUUUUCAAGGGUUUAUAGAAGAGUCUAAAACAAAACAUACAGAUGAUCCCAAAAUAGACAGAAUGCCAUUUGAGGAAAUCAGAUUCUAUUGGGGAGGAAGAACAGGCACUCAACUACCUUAGCAUCCCUAGAGUGGCUUGGGUGAUCCCAGCAAAAAACGUAGCUGUAAAUGCAAGCCGCAGAUACGCUUCUGGAUGUGUAUGGUAAUCAAUCUCCUUUUGUAGCAUUGUUCCCAGCAAGAGAGAAACAACAGCCACUGGUCCAAUCGCUAUGUCUCUAGAGCUACCCAUCAAAGCAUAAACCAGUGGUGGUACAAAGCUGGAGUCUGCAACAAUUUAAAAAGUUGGAUUAGGCUGGGAAAAUCAAAGUAGAGCACUCAAAAUCCGGAAGAGACUUGGUGCAAGAUGCAUAAUCAGUGCUUACAUAAACCAUACUGGGGAGCCAAAUUAGCAAGUUUUGCAUACCCUAUAUCCUGUAAUAUAAAAAUUUGACAUGAUCAGACACUGUUUGUGUGUUUUUUUUUUUUUUUUUUUUUUUUUUUUUUUUUUUUUUCUCUUUUCUUACAUUUGCAUGCAUAUUAAAGCAGAGCUAGUUUACCUGUGGAAUACAGAGACUUGCAAUAGUGAGUCCA